rnacentral:lncRNA from 1 species
GUAACACUCUGGGAGGGCUCAGGCCACAUCACGAAAUGUGACAGGAUAGCCUUGAACUCAUCAAUUGCUGGGGGCACCUCAAACUCAACUCCAAAAUUGAUCUAAUGAACUUUCCCAAACCACAUUCCCUUCUUGCAUUUCUGAGAGAAUGGAUUCCCAUUCAUCUGACUACAGUGCUACCCUGAAAGCAGAUCCAGAGACUAAGAUUCACCUGCAGGUGAUUCAUUUGCAAGGUAAGCUGUCAUCAGUUGGAGGUAAGCGGAAGACAGUAGAGAGUACAGAGCCCUGGACUGUGACUCAGAGGAUGAGCACCAGAUCCAGUUUGCUGUGCCACAGUGUCCUGAAGAUUUUCCUCAGAUAAUCUUUCAUCUCUUUGUUCCUGAGACUAUAUAUUAGAGGAUUACAGAGUGGUGUUAUCACAGAAAAGAACAAGUGGAUUUUUAUCUGAGAUCUACAACUUAUGAAGAAUACAAAUGAUGUAUAUUCUUUUCUACUCUUCAUGUAUGGACUAGAGGGGCUUGCACAGUAGUAAGAAAAAAAUGGCUGAGACCCACAGGAACAAAGAAACAGGACAGGAGUUAGAUGCAGAGAAGAGAUUUCAACAAAAGUUUGGAAAAGAUGCUAACGGUAGCAUAUGAGUCACAGACAGAACAUUGGCACCUUUGUUUAAGAAACUGAAUGUUAAUGUCACAUCUGCCUUUGGAGAUUACAAAUGAAAUGGCUACCUUUCUACUGGAACCCUGACCAGAAGUCUGCCAGUUAGUAAGCUGGCUUAAGAGAUCAAUCUAAAAUUUACAUAAGGCUUUUGAAAAAAAGAAAAAACCCCUGAAAUGCUCAUAGACUUCUUUGUGGAGAGGAAGAUAAUUUCUUUUGAUGGAUGCAUUGCACAGCUCUUCUUCUUACACUUUGCUGGGGCUUCGGAGAUGUUCUUGCUCACAGUGAUGGCCUUUGACCUCUACACUGCUAUCUGCCGACCCCUCCACUAUGCUACCAUCAUGAAUCAACGUCUCUGCUGUAUCCUGGUGGCUCUCUCCUGGAGGGGGGGCUUCAUUCAUUCUAUCAUACAGGAACCCAAAGGCACAGAUUGACGUUAUAAGUCCUGAUUUUUGACUUGACUUCUCAUCACCUGGAAGUGAAUAAAGCAGUAGACUUCUCUAACAUUUUGUAACACAGCAUGAAAAAAUAUAGAGUACAAAAGAUAUAUAUAUAUAAUAUGAUAAAA